rnacentral:rRNA from 1 species
UCCUCGCUUUUCACGACUGUAAGGCGGUCGUGGAAUAAGAGCUGGGCAAGACCGGUGCCAGCCGCCGCGGUAAUACCGGCAGCUCAAGUGAUGACCGAUAUUAUUGGGCCUAAAGCGUCCGUAGCCGCCACGAAGGUUCAUCGGGAAAUCCGCCAGCUCAACUGGCGGGCGUCCGGUGAAAACCACGUGGCUUGGGACCGGAAGGCUCGAGGGGUACGUCCGGGGUAGGAGUGAAAUCCCGUAAUCCUGGACGGCCACCGAUGGCGAAAGCACCUCGAGAAGACGGAUCCGACGGUGAGGGACGAAAGCUAGGGUCUCGAACCGGAUUAGAUACCCGGGUAGUCC